rnacentral:tRNA from 1 species
GCGCCUUUAGUGCAAUAGCGUAGAGCGUUCCCGCCCGGUCAGCAGGAGGUGCGGGUUCGAGUCCCGCCUGGCGCU